ACCCACAGCCACGUACGCCAGCCUGAUAGAAUUUUCUUCCCCCUUGCUAAUGCCGUCUGAACUCAGAAGCUAAGCCGGCUGGGUUGGGUUAGUCUUUGGAUGGGAGGCCAUCUGGGAAUGCAAGGUGCUGUCGGCU
rnacentral:rRNA from 1 species